rnacentral:lncRNA from 10 species
AUAAACCUGCUCUCCUAGGAGACCUGAAGGCUGCUUCCGCUAACCCGGGCUGGCGCUGCUAACCUCACCCAACGAUCCCUGCUGUCGGAAAAUGUCCAGAGGCACCAUCCCUGCUAUGAAGAGGGAAUGCCAGUACAACAGCCACAAGGGGUCUUCCUGUGGCCCUCAAACAAAAAAUCACUGCAUUACAUCAGCAGGCCGGACGCGGUGGUUCAUGCCUGUAAUCCCAGCACUGUGGGAGGCCGAGACGGGCGGAUCACGAGGUCAGCAGAUCGAGACCAUCCUGGCUAACACGGUGAAACCCCAUCUCUCCUAAAAAUACAAAAAAAUUAGCUGGGCGUGGUGGCGGGCGCCUGUAGUCUCAGCUACUCGAGAGGCUGAGGCAGGAGAACGGCGUGAACCCGGGAGGCGGAGCUUGCAGUGAGCCAAGAUCGCGCUACUGCACUUCAGCCUGGGCGACAGAGCGAGACUCCGUCUCUCUCUCUCUCACGCUCUCUCUCUAUAUAUAUAUUCCAUAGACUGCAUUGGAGAGAAAGGCGCCGGGACAGAAAAGCCUGAGAUAAACCACCUGUCAUUCUUGGAGAAAAGGAUGCUGCGGCUUUCCCGAUUUGGUUGAUGAGAUGGAAAAUCAACCCUUACAGGAAGGACAUCACCAAUUCCGGAAAGGAUGCUGCGCCAGUCAUGUUUCCGCACUCUGUGAGACGUUGAAAUCUCCAGAAGUUGCCCAAGGUUUUCAAGCUGAACACAGGAGAAAUGACUCUGGAUCUCUGAGGACUGUUUUCCUCAAUAAGGAGCUGCAAUCUUGGCUCCACCACCCUCCCUCCAAAACAUCUCGUGUGUCUGGUAUCUGGUUAUAUUGUGGCCUGACAGAGAAGUUUCUUUCGGGGCCAGUGAAUUAAAAAAAAAAAA